UGCUACAGGCAGCAGGGCCUAAUGAAGCUGCUGCUACAUUCUCACCAGCCUGUUACCAGAAACAUAAUUGAGAAAGUCACAGAGAGAUGAAGUGGAAAGAGAGAGAUUAACAUGAGGAUGAGGCCGAGUGGCAGCUGAUGCUGUGUUUGUGGUGGGGAAUACAGAUUAUAAAUAAAGCAGAAACAUACAAAGCAGAAGAAAUAGAUGAAGAACACAAAGGACAAGUAGGGCCUGCGAGGAAACAAUGGAUCAAGCUCUGAAUGGAAGAACAUUGGUGGACAUGGACAUAAAGGUGCUUUGGGCGAUCCCCCAGGAAGAGCUAUGGGAAAGAUCCGACUGUCAGUGGAGAGAAGACGAAUGAUUCCCCGUGUCAGCACCGCGUGGUUCAACGAUGACAGAUUGAGAGGAGCUGUCCCUCUGCCGACAGGCGUGCUUCAUUUUCAAAUUAAUAAAUCUGAAUAAAAUAUUUUUCCUUUCAUUACGAGCAGGGCCUGUCUGACAGUUGCUUUGACAGGAGGGAGUAGCAGAGUUGAUGAGAACAGCUUGCCCAAAAUCCACCUGGGUUUUCUCGUGUUUUAUUUUUACCUGCACGCUCAGCUCUCUGUAUCUCGCCUUCCACGCUUGUGUCUCUUUCACACUCUGUCUCGUUGCCUCAUUCCCACUUAAUGCCCUUGUGGUCGGUUUAUCUCCUCUGUCUGAAUAAUUUCACCUUCAUCAUUUUUAUAUAGACACAUUUCUUUGGAGAGAUUUUGCAUUGCUCAGUUUGUAAGGUGUUAAUAAGUUUGUUAUUGAUAGAUUUAUACGCACUGCCCAAAGUGUCUUUUGUGAUGUCUGGUGUAAUGCUACAACUGGAAGAAAAAGGCAUGGUAAAGUCAGGUACGUUAUUGUCAUGUGGAAAUAUUACCCGACAAUUAAUUGUCAUGGUGAAUUCAUAUAGCUGAAUACAUAGGCGAAAUGAGCAUUUUCACGGAUGUUUGCUGAGAAGGCAGUUUCAUAAAUAAAAUGUUGAACUGAUUUCUUUUGAUGAUUUUUUUACCAUCUGAGAAUAAAGAGCAUAAUUAUU